GAUGAACGCUGGCGGCGUGCCUAAUACAUGCAAGUCGAGCGAACAGACGAGGAGCUUGCUCCUCUGACGUUAGCGGCGGACGGGUGAGUAACACGUGGAUAACCUACCUAUAAGACUGGGAUAACUUCGGGAAACCGGAGCUAAUACCGGAUAAUAUAUUGAACCGCAUGGUUCAAUAGUUAAAGACGGUUUUGCUGUCACUUAUAGCUGGAUCCGCGCCGCAUUAGCUAGUUGGUAAGGUAACGGCUUACCAAGGCAACGAUGCGUAGCCGACCUGAGAGGGUGAUCGGCCACACUGGAACUGAGACACGGUCCAGACUCCUACGGGAGGCAGCAGUAGGGAAUCUUCCGCAAUGGGCGAAAGCCUGACGGAGCAACGCCGCGUGAGUGAUGAAGGUCUUCGGAUCGUAAAACUCUGUUAUUAGGGAAGAACAAAUGUGUAAGUAACUAUGCACGUCUUGACGGUACCUAAUCAGAAAGCCACGGCUAACUACGUG
rnacentral:rRNA from 1 species